rnacentral:rRNA from 1 species
UACGUAGGUGGCAAGCGUUGUCCGGAUUUACUGGGCGUAAAGAGCGCGCAGGCGGUCGUUCAAGUCGCGUGUGAAAGCCCCCGGCUCAACUGGGGAGGGUCACGCGAUACUGAUCGACUCGAAGGCAGGAGAGGGAAGUGGAAUUCCCGGUGUAGUGGUGAAAUGCGCAGAUAUCAGGAGGAACACCGGUGGCGAAGGCGGUGGUCUGGGCCGGAACUGACGCUGAGGAGCGAAGGCGUGGGGAGCGAACAGG